rnacentral:rRNA from 1 species
CCUACGGGAGGCAGCAGUGGGGAAUAUUGCACAAUGGGGGAAACCCUGAUGCAGCGACGCCGCGUGAGUGAAGAAGUAUUUCGGUACGUAAAGCUCUAUCAGCAGGGAAGAAGAAAGACGGUACCAGACUAAGAAGCCCCGGCUAACUACGUGCCAGCAGCCGCGGUAAUAUGUAGGGGGCAAGCGUUAUUCGGAUUUACUGGGUGUAAAGGGAGCGUAGACGGCUGUGCAAGUCUGAAGUGAAAGCCCAGGGCUCAACCCUGGGACUGCUUUGGAAACUGUGGAGCUAGAGUGCUGGAGAGGUAAGUGGAAUUCCUUGUGUAGCGGUGAAAUGCGUAGAUAUUAGGAGGAACACCAGUGGCGAAGGCGGCUUACUGGACAGUAACUGACGUUGAGGCUCGAAAGCGUGGGGAGCAAACAGGAUUAGAUACCCCUGUAGUC